CCUACGGGAGGCAGCAGUGGGGAAUCUUGCGCAAUGGGCGAAAGCCUGACGCAGCCAUGCCGCGUGGAUGAUGAAGGUCUUAGGAUUGUAAAAUCCUUUCACCGGUGAAGAUAAUGACUGUAGCCGGAGAAGAAGCCCCGGCUAACUUCGUGCCAGCAGCCGCGGUAAUACGAAGGGGGCUAGCGUUGCUCGGAAUUACUGGGCGUAAAGGGAGCGUAGGCGGACAUUUAAGUCAGAGGUGGAAUCCCGGAGCUUAACUUCGGAACUGCCUUUGAUACUGGGUGUCUUGAGUGUGAGAGAGGUAUGUGGAACUCCGAGUGUAGAGGUGAAAUUCGUAGAUAUUCGGAAGAACACCAGUGGCGAAGGCGACAUACUGGCUCAUUACUGACGCUGAGGCUCGAAAGCGUGGGGAGCAAACAGGAUUAGAUACCCUGGUAGUCCACGCCGUAAACGAUGAUUGCUAGUUGUCGGGAAGCUUGCUUCUCGGCGACGCAGCUAACGCAUUAAGCAAUCCGCCGUGGGGAGUCGGUCGCAAGAUUAAAACUCAAAGUUAGUUAGUAGCGGNGAGAGCGCGACGGACGACGACGAGGGAGGAGG
rnacentral:rRNA from 1 species